CAAAACAGCAAACUUUUUGCUUAGAAAACAUCCCUUUUCUAUGGGAGAGGAUGGGAAACUACAUCUGGGAGAGAGGCUUUUCCUGAAUUUGCUGUCUGAAUUGACCACUGCUUUGCAAUUAUUAACAGAAUUAACUACCAUCCAAAAGGACUACGACAGAAAGAGGGGAAAAAAUACAAUGCAAAAAGAAAAAAAAAAAAUAAGGUCAAGAAAAAGAAGAACCUACCUGCGAAGUCUUGUUUGUAGUUUUGGCCAGAAAUGGUGAGAAGAAAAAGCAUGAAGAAGCCGCGAAGUGUGGGGGAGAAAAGGUGGAAGAGAAGCAGCUCCUGGAGAAAAUUGUAAAAAGCCUUGCAAAGAGUUGUCGGAAGGACCGUUAUUCCUGCUGGGCAGGUUAGGACUGAUCUCUUUCUGCCACUCCAGGAAACACAAACCUGGGGACGGACUGACGUGUUACGCCUCUUCUAAUGACAUUUUUUUCUUUUUCUUUUCUGUAGAGAAGAGAGGCGAGACCCUGAAACACGCGCCACCUAUCUUUGUGGGGAGGGAUAAUUGAAGAGCACUAAACGUGAGCAUCAUGUGAAAACGUGAUCGCCAAGUUUCUCUCUGGGAAAGGAUCUGGGAUAGAUUAUACCUUGAAGUCUCCGCAAACGCUUUAGUGGAAGAAA